rnacentral:rRNA from 1 species
UACGGGGGGGGCAAGCGUCGUUCGGAAUUACUGGGCGUAAAGGGCUCGUAGGCGGCCGACUAAGUCGGACGUGAAAGCCCCAGGCUUAACCUGGGAACUGCGUCCGAUACUGGGAGGCUUGGAUUCGGGAGAGGGAUGUGGAAUUCCAGGUGUAGCGGUGAAAUGCGUAGAUAUCUGGAGGAACACCGGUGGCGAAGGCGGCAUCCUGGACCGAGAUCGACGCUGAGGCGCGAAAGCUAGGGGAGCAAACGGG